ensembl:lncRNA
GUAAUAUGCAAGGAAAGCAGCAUCCUUUGUCUGGUCUCCUAAUAGGAGGGCUAGACAAAGGAUUUUGGAAUUGAAUCUUCCAAGAUCUGUACCUAAUAGAUUUGUCUGAACGUUUAAUUAAAAAAAUAAAUUAAAAUGGUUAUUUAAGUAAUCGAAUGACACCCUUAUGAUGAGGCCUUCCCUGCUCAAAUUUAAGAUGAGAAAUCCUUUUAGUUGGUGUGAGGAACAGCACAAAUUGCCUCCCCCUUCUCGAAUCCGAACCCGACAGCGUGCAGGGACGGCCGCUGAGCACAUGAUCAGUCGACUGCGGCCCUGCUCUGCGUUGCUUCUUGUUUUGUUUUUUUGUUUGUUUUUGUUGUGCUACCAUUUUAUUUCUGGCCUCACACAAUUUCACAGGAGAGAACAAAACGAAGCUGCACCACGCCAGGUGUGCGAGGUAAUAGACCUGCUUUUAAAUGAUUGUAUACUCUAAGAAAAGAACGAGAAAAAAAAGGGGGUUUGGAUGUUUUUAGAAAGGAAAAAGACAAAACUCAGGUAGUUCUCAGCAGCGCUGUGCUGCAGGUGUCUCAUUGAAUCGUGUAGUGAUAAUGUAGUGACUUUUUUCUCCCCACCCCCCCACUGUUAUGAUCUCUGUACUAGUCUGAUUCUUUGUGUGUCCACUUGCAUAUUAUAAAACAAAUAAUUUCUCAAUUUGAAAAUAAUGCUUUCAAUUUGUACCCUGAUUUUAUUUUUCUUUCCCCCUCUGGUUCAAGUUUUGUUUUGUUUAUCUUUAACAAAAAGUACAACUAUUCACACCACUUGAUGCUCAUUGGCCCUUUUAGAAUGUAUUUUGUGAAGAAAAGGGUUAAAUGGCAUCUUGCUGCUCACUCGCCGGCGCCAUCUGCUGGUGGCAGAUACACGACACAGCAGAGACCAGAGAAAAUCAGCGUUUACCACCGGCCGAGGUGGGAGCCGUUCGCCCUGAGCCGGCUCGUCCUGUCAGCGGUGUCCUGUUCUUCCAGCAGCCAGUUGUCACAUGUCGAGUGGGCGCCCUGUGCGUGUGUCUGCGUGUUUGUGCGCUGCAUUUGUCGUCUGUGCAGAAAUCCACUGAAUGUAUCCUCCUCACAGUCCAAGAGCUGGGGUGAGCCCGCGUGGCCAGCUGAAUUUAGAUGAGUGCUGCUGGUGCUUCUCAUCCACGCUGCGCUGUGUGUGUGUUGUUAUCAGUUAAAUCUCAGUGUGUGUUUUUACACACACGCACGUUGUGGUGGAUGGAAGUGCAAAUGUCAGGUCUUCAGUCUAAAUAAGGCAUCGGAGACUAUAAUAUAACGGCCACGUGCUGCUCUCUCUGCACUCUGUGGACUUUAAACAUUUCCUAUGCAGUUUUUUUUUUUUUUUGUUUUGUUUUUUGUUUUGGUUUUUUUGGG